GACGAACGCUGGCGGCGUGCUUAACACAUGCAAGUCGAGCGGGGUCCAGCCGGUAGCAAUACCGGUGAAGACCUAGCGGCGAACGGGUGAGUAACACGUGAGCAACCUGCCCCGAAGUUUGGGAUAACACCGGGAAACCGGUGCUAAUACCAGAUGCCCUCAUCGAGUCUCAUGGUUUGAUGAGGAAAGAUUUAUCGCUUCGGGAGGGGCUCGCGGCCUAUCAGCUUGUUGGUGGGGAACGGCCCACCAAGGCUUCGACGGGUAGCUGGUCUGAGAGGACGACCAGCCACACUGGGACUGAGACACGGGCCCAGACUCCUACGGGAGGCAGCAGUGGGGAAUCUUGCGCAAUGGGCGAAAGCCUGACGCAGCGACGCCGCGUGAGGGAUGACGGCCUGGUGUAAC
rnacentral:rRNA from 1 species